UUGGUUAAGUUAGAAAGGGCGCACGGUGGAUGCCUUGGCACUAGGAGCCGAAGAAGGACGGGACUAACACCGAUAUGCUUUGGGGAGCUGUACGUAAGCGUUGAUCCAGAGAUUUCCGAAUGGGGGAACCCACUAUCUUUAGUCGGAUAGUAUCCUUACGUGAAUACAUAGCGUGAGGAAGGCAGACCCAGGGAACUGAAACAUCUAAGUACCUGGAGGAAGAGAAAGAAAAAUCGAUUUCCUGAGUAGCGGCGAGCGAAACGGAAAGAGCCCAAACCAAGAAGCUUGCUUCUUGGGGUUGUAGGACACUCUAUACGGAGUUACAAAAGAAAGUUAUAAAUGAAGCGGUCUGGAAAGGCCCGCCAAAGACGGUAACAGCCCGGUAGUUGAAAUGGCUUUCCCUCCAGAGUGGAUCCUGAGUACGGCGGAACACGUGAAAUUCCGUCGGAAUCCGGGAGGACCAUCUCCCAAGGCUAAAUACUCCCUAGUGACCGAUAGUGAACCAGUACCGUGAGGGAAAGGUGAAAAGCACCCCGGAAGGGGAGUGAAACAGUUCCUGAAACCGUGUGCCUACAAGUAGUUAGAGCCCGUUAAUGGGUGAUAGCGUGCCUUUUGUAGAAUGAACCGGCGAGUUACGAUUUGUUGCAAGGUUAAGCGGAAAAAGCGGAGCCGUAGCGAAAGCGAGUCUGAAUAGGGCGCAUAAGUAACAGGUCGUAGACCCGAAACCAGGUGAUCUACCCAUGUCCAGGAUGAAGGUAAGGUAAUACUUACUGGAGGUCCGAACCCACGCACGUUGAAAAGUGCGGGGAUGAGGUGUGGGUAGCGGAGAAAUUCCAAUCGAACUUGGAGAUAGCUGGUUCUCUCCGAAAUAGCUUUAGGGCUAGCCUCGAGGUAAAGAGUCAUGGAGGUAGAGCACUGUUUGGACUAGGGGCCCUUCUCGGGUUACCGAAUUCAGAUAAACUCCGAAUGCCAUGUACUUAUACUCGGGAGUCAGACUGCGAGUGAUAAGAUCCGUAGUCGAAAGGGAAACAGCCCAGACCACCAGUUAAGGUCCCCAAAUAUAUGUUAAGUGGAAAAGGAUGUGGAGUUGCUUAGACAACCAGGAUGUUGGCUUAGAAGCAGCCACCAUUGAAAGAGUGCGUAAUAGCUCACUGGUCGAGUGACCCCGCGCCGAAAAUGUACCGGGGCUAAACAUAUUACCGAAACUGUGGAUGAACCUCUUUAGAGGUUCGUGGUAGGAGAGCGUUCUAAGGGCGGUGAAGUCAGACCGGAAGGACUGGUGGAGCGCUUAGAAGUGAGAAUGCCGGUAUGAGUAGCGAAAGAAGGGUGAGAAUCCCUUCCACCGAAUAGCUAAGGUUUCCUGAGGAAGGCUCGUCCGCUCAGGGUUAGUCGGGACCUAAGCCGAGGCCGAUAGGCGUAGGCGAUGGACAACAGGUAGAGAUUCCUGUACCAGUGCUAAUUGUUUAACCGAUGGGGUGACACAGAAGGAUAGGGAAUCGCACGAAUGGAAAUGUGCGUCCAAGCAGUGAGUGUGAGAAGUAGGCAAAUCCGCUUCUCGCGAAGCAUGAGCUGUGAUGGGGAAGGAAAUUAAGUACGGAAGUUCCUGAUUUCACGCUGUCAAGAAAAGCCUC
rnacentral:rRNA from 1 species